AACGAACGCUGGCGGCAUGCCUAACACAUGCAAGUCGAACGAAGGCUUCGGCCUUAGUGGCGCACGGGUGCGUAACGCGUGGGAAUCAGCCCUUGGGUUCGGAAUAACGUCGGGAAACUGACGCUAAUACCGGAUGAUGACGUAAGUCCAAAGAUUUAUCGCCCAAGGAUGAGCCCGCGUCGGAUUAGCUAGUUGGUGAGGUAAAAGCUCACCAAGGCGACGAUCCGUAGCUGGUCUGAGAGGAUGAUCAGCCACACUGGGACUGAGACACGGCCCAGACUCCUACGGGAGGCAGCAGUGGGGAAUAUUGGACAAUGGGCGAAAGCCUGAUCCAGCAAUGCCGCGUGAGUGAUGAAGGCCUUAGGGUUGUAAAGCUCUUUUACCCGGGAUGAUAAUGACCGUACCGGGAGAAUAAGCUCCGGCUAACUCCGUG
rnacentral:rRNA from 1 species